CUACGGGACGCAGCAGUGGGGAAUAUUGGACAAUGGGGGAAACCCUGAUCCAGCAAUGCCGCGUGUGUGAAGAAGGCCUGCGGGUUGUAAGGCACUUUCGGUUGGGAGGACUGCUUCUAGCACUAAUAUUGUUGGAAGUUGACGUUACCUUCAGAAGAAGCACCGGCUAACUCCGUGCCAGCAGCCGCGGUAAUACGGAGGGUGCAUGCGUUAAUCAGAAUUACUGGGCGUAAAGCGCGCGUAGGCGGCUAGAUCAGUCGGGUGUGAAAGCCCCGGGCUUAACCUGGGAACUGCAUCCGAUACUGUCUAGCUUGAGUACAGGAGAGGAGAGUGGAAUUCCACAUGUAGCGGUGAAAUGCGUAGAUAUGUGGAGGAACACCAAUGGCGAAGGCAGCUCUCUGGCCUGAUACUGACGCUGAGGUGCGAAAGCGUGGGGAGCAAACAGGAUUAGAUACCCCGGUAGUC
rnacentral:rRNA from 1 species